rnacentral:rRNA from 1 species
GUCUAUGGCCAUACCACCCAGAAUGUGCCCAGUCUCGUCUGAUCUUGGAAGCUAAGCAGUGUCGGGCCUGGUUAGUACUUGGAGGAGAGAAAUUAUUGUAUCAGACA